GAAGGAUCAUUACUGAUUUGCUUAAUUGCACCACAUGUGUUUUUCUUUGAAACAAACUUGCUUUGGCGGUGGGCCCAGCCUGCCGCCAGAGGUCUAAACUUACAACCAAUUUUUUAUCAACUUGUCACACCAGAUUAUUACUAAUAGUCAAAACUUUCAACAACGGAUCUCUUGGUUCUCGCAUCGAUGAAGAACGCAGCGAAAUGCGAUACGUAAUAUGAAUUGCAGAUAUUCGUGAAUCAUCGAAUCUUUGAACGCACAUUGCGCCCUCUGGUAUUCCGGAGGGCAAUGCCUGUUUGAGCGUCGUUUCUCCCUCAAACCGCUGGGUUUGGUGUUGAGCAAUACGACUUGGGUUUGCUUGAAAGACGGUAGUGGGUAAGGCGGGAUCGCUUUGACAAUGGCUUAGGUCUAACCAAAAACAUUGCUUGCGGCGGUAACGUCUACUACGUAUAUCUUCAAACUUUUGACCUCAAAUCAGGUAGGACUACCCGCUGAAAC
rnacentral:rRNA from 1 species